UACGGGGGGGGCAAGCGUUGUUCGGAAUUACUGGGCGUAAAGGGCUCGUAGGCGGCCAACUAAGUCAUACGUGAAAUCCCUCAGCUUAACUGGGGAACUGCGUGUGAUACUGGAUGGCUUGGAUUUGGGAGAGGGAUGCGGAAUUCCAGGUGUAGCGGUGAAAUGCGUAGAUAUCUGGAGGAACACCGGUGGCGAAGGCGGCAUCCUGGACCAAUAUUGACGCUGAGGCGCGAAAGCUAGGGGAGCAAACAGG
rnacentral:rRNA from 1 species